rnacentral:rRNA from 1 species
GAUGAACGCUAGCGGCGUGCUUAAUGCAUGCAAGUCGAACGAUAAACCCUUCGGGGUCGAAAGUGGCGAACGGGUGAGUAAUGCGUUGGUGACCUGCCUUGUAGUGGGGGACAACCGCUGGAAACGGUGGCUAAUACCCCAGAUGCCAUUGUGUUUGGAAAACAAUGUCUAAAGCUACGGUGCUACAAGAGGGGCCAACGUCCCAUCAGCUAGUUGGUGAGGUAACGGCUCACCAAGGCAAAGACGGGUAGGGGCGGUGAGAGCGUGACCCCCACCACUGGUACGUGACACACGGACCGACGAUACCUA